rnacentral:rRNA from 1 species
UACGUAGGGGCGAGCGUUAUCCGGAAUUAUUGGGCGUAAAGGGUUCGCAGGCGGCCUUGUAAGUCAGAUGUGAAAGACAGCGGCUUAACCAAUGUAAGCCUUUGAAACCGAUUAGCUUGAGUGCAGGAGGGGAAAGUGGAAUUUCUAGUGUAGCGGUGGAAUGCGUAGAUAUUAGAAGGAACACCAGUGGCGAAGGCGACUUUCUGGACUGUGACUGACGCUGAGGCACGAAAGCGUGGGUAGCGAACAGGAUUAGAUACCCCUGUAGUCCCUGA